UAGCUGCUGGCUCCAAAGGUUCAGGUAGUGCGAUGGAGGAAAGAGGGGAGCACCAGCACGUUGCCCCUGUCUUUGGCCCCUUCAGUGGGUGAAACACAUUUAGGUCAGCUGUACUGGAAUACAUCUGCUACCUCAAGACAACGGGAACGGCUUGGAGAAAGAAGACCCUAGGAUUUUUCUGACAGCAGCCGCCAGAGGAAGGAACACAGCUAAUAUGAUAGCCAAUCUAUGGGAACAUCACUCAGGGGUUGCAGCAUCUGGGUCACUCUGGGCAGUGCCCGCCACAUAUCCUUGGCAACCCACAGGCUGGAUCCUACCUCGUUCUAUGGAGAUGGACUGAACUGUUAAACCAGAGUUUCCAGUGAUGGGCGGUGUCCUGCCCUAGCUGCUAAUACAGUGGAUCCACAGUGAUCUGUAUUUUUCAAUAAAGGCUUUGAGUUA